rnacentral:rRNA from 1 species
GACGUAGGGCGCGAGCGUUGUCCGGAUUUAUUGGGCGUAAAGAGCUCGUAGGCGGCUUGUCGCGUCGACUGUGAAAACUCGGGGCUCAACCCCGCGCUUGCAUUCGAUACGGGCAGGCUCGAGUUCGGUAGGGGAGACUGGAAUUCCUGGUGUAGCGGUGAAAUGCGCAGAUAUCAGGAGGAACACCGGUGGCGAAGGCGGGUCGCUGGGCCAAAACUGACGCUGAGGAGCGAAGGCGUGGGGAGCGAACGGG